rnacentral:ncRNA from 1 species
CAAAAGGUCUGGAACAGGAGAGUAGCCGAAGAACGAUAUUUCAGAGAGCACGGCGUUAGCUGGAAUCCGUGCAUAUCGGAGAUCGGUGAACGGCACCUGCGAACCGCGCGGUCGAAAGGGAAGUACACCGCGACGCCUCGUCUGCGUUAUCGGACAAAAGCGGAGCAAGAAAUUGCUCAAAUUGGGUGGCACCGCGGGUUUCCCGUCCCUUUU